CAAGCAGCACCCACUGCCACCUCUGGGGAGGAGUGAUAACCAGUCCCCUGGGACCGUGUCUGAGACUGGAGCCAUACUUUGUGCAGACCAGCUUCGGAGUAAGGGGGAGCAGCAGGAGGACAGGUCUGAUCCUAACAGCCGGCUUUGCCUUGGACACAGUCUCCUGCAAUCCAGAAAGCCACCUCAGCCCAGCUGAGAUCUAAAGCCUCUGGAGACCCUGAAUCCCCACUUGCUCUGGCUUCUACAGAACCCAGAAUCCAUCUGCCAAUGCACGGGACACAGAUUCAAUCCCUGGUCUGGGAAGAUCCCACACGCCACAGGACAACUAAGUCCAUGUGCCAUAAAGACUGAGGCUGUAGUCAAGAGCCUGGGAGCCCGCCAUAAAGCCCGUGCUCUGCAACAAGAGAAGCCACCAUGAUGAGAAGCCCAAGCACCGCAAACAGUGAUAGUGAAAAUUGCUCAGUCAUGGCUGACUCUGUGAGAGGCCUCUGUCCAUAGAAUUCUCCAGGCCAGAAUACUGGAGUGGGUAGCUGUUUCCUUCUCCAGGGGAUCUUCCCGACCCAGGAAUCAAACUGGGGUCUCCUGCAUUGCAGGCAGAUUCUUUACCAGCCUAGCUACCAGCCCUUCCUUACUUGCCGCAACUAGAGAAAGCCCAAGCACAGCAAUGAAGACA